rnacentral:rRNA from 15 species
ACGAGUACUUUCCUUGUCCGGAAGGACUGGGUAAUCUUGUGAAACUUCGUCGUGCUGGGGAUAGAGCAUUGCAAUUAUUGCUCUUCAACGAGGAAUUCCUAGUAAGCGUGAGUCAUCAGCUCGCGUUGAUUACGUCCCUGCCCUUUGUACACACCGCCCGUCGCUACUACCGAUUGAAUGGCUUAGUGAGCCUUUGGGAUCGGCAGCUUGUACCGGCAACGGUAGCAGGCCGCUGAAAACUUAGGCAAACUUGGUCAUUUAGAGGAAGUAAAAGUCGUAACAAGG